CUGGCGGCGUGCCUAACACAUGCAAGUCGAGCGGGGACAUACGACGGAACCAAAGUUUCGGAUGGAGGUGAAGAUGUAUGUUCUAGCGGCGGACGGGUGAGUAACGCGUGAGCAACCUGUCCCUUACAGGGGGAUAACACAGCGAAAGUUGUACUAAUACCGCAUGAGACCACGAUGGGACAUCCCAUAGGGGUCAAAGGAGCAAUCCGGUAAGGGGUGGGCUCGCGUCCGAUUAGAUAGUUGGUGAGGUAACGGCCCACCAAGUCGACGAUCGGUAGCCGACCUGAGAGGGUGAUCGGCCACAUUGGGACUGAGACACGGCCCAAACUCCUACGGGAGGCAGCAGUGGGGAAUAUUGGGCAAUGGGGGGAACCCUGACCCAGCGACGCCGCGUGAGGGAAGAAGGUUUUCGGAUCGUAAACCUCUGUCCUUGGUGAAGAGGAAGAGACGGUAGCCAAGGAGGAAGCCCCGGCUAACUACGUGCCAGCCGCCGC
rnacentral:rRNA from 1 species